AGUUCUUCUCACACUCCAUCAUUGUCUCCGAGAAAGAACCGGCAACCUCGGGAACAGGGCACGGAGGUGCUGCCUCGACAUUUCUCAUUUUUAUGUCUUCACACCCACACCUUGUUAUAUAACAUACAAAUACAUGUUCAUUUCGUGAGAAUUGUUACGUAACACACAAAUACACACAAACCCAGUGAGACUCGUGAAAGGCCUGCUCUCCGCCAUCUCCACCAUCAUGGCUGACAGACAAGCGGAGGGUGGGGAUGCUCGGUCUGCCUCAGAAACUCCCCCUCUCCAAACUUCUCAGCUUCCCAUGGGUGGCCUUGAACUCACGACAAGCACUGUUCAUCAAGCAUCAGAAAGAAGAGAUGACAGCAGGAAGAGUAGAACACACUUCCUUAAUCCUUCAAAAGUGAGCUUUUGAAGAAAGCCAGCUCCAUGGUUGACGUUCCUUCCGAUAUGACAUGUACCGUGGAAGGAAAAUAAAACCACAUACAGACAAAUAUCUGUACCUUUGACAUUUAUUCAACUCUAAAGUUUAAGGGGAUUUUUCUUCUCAUUCUAUGUACUACAAUGGUAUAAUCAAACAUGGGUGAGGAUUUUUCCCUUACUGUGUGUAUUGUAGGUGUCUGUAUCUGAGAACUAACAAUAGCUUCCAGCCACAUAUUAAAAAAACACCAUGAAUCAUUGUGGCCAGACAUCCUCAGAACCAGACCAGGAAAAUAACAGUCCUGUGCCUGGGGCCUGUCUGAGGAGGGGAGGAAGGAGUUCUUAGUCUUCAGGGAGGGCAUCCCUGAGUCAUACCAACCCCAACAGAGAUUGCAGCAUUAAGGUCUUUGCUAAACAGCAGCCAGGGUAAAUAUGGAGAGUAUAAACCUUGGAAAGGAUGGAGAGUCAAUAGGGAAACCUAGCAUUCUGAGCCACACUGGAAUUCCCAUUCACCAACACAGCUGCUUGCCUGCCUGCCUGCCGCCGGCUUUCUACACAAGGCAGAUGCAGGCCAUAGAAGAUGAGGAACUGACAAGCAAUCCUGGUCAUGUGGGUGUAGCAAGAGUGAAUACCUUUUCCUAGCACAGUGGAACUCUCCAAAGGUAGCUUUAAGGUGCCCUGCCACGGAACCCCAGGGCAUGGUCUCAGGUGAACUAUUAAGGGCUAGAGUUGUGGGAGACUGGAGGGUUCAGAUGGCGCCAUUCCCUGCUAUCACUGCAGAGAAUUGUGAGGGGAAUCUAUAGAGCAUCUCCUACCUGUGUUCAUGCCAGUGACAGCACCGAUGUCAUUUCACAGCAGGUCUGCCUCGGAUAGGGGCAUAUCAGUGUCUCCCAUGGUACAGCAGUGGAUUUCUGUUGCCCAAGGACCCCUGGCCCUGUUCCCUGCCUGUCUGCUGGUUAUUGUCAGGCUUAGAUACAGUGAAGAAGGCAUCCUGGGAAACCUUGGCUGAAGAAAGAUUCCUGACCAAAGUUGAUGCAAUGAUCUAUCUACUGAGGCUGAGGACAGGCUGACACCCUGCAACGUUGUGGACUGCUGCUCAGCUUCUCUCACUAUAAUUACAAAUUUAAGAAUUAAGCUCAUUUUAAGGGAUCUACCUGAAAAUAACGUAAGAGAUAUGUCUGUUGAACAAUAGAGCUAAAAAUACAAAAUACAUGCUGAAAACAUUAAGUUAGUCACUUGCAAUAUUUUU